GGGUUGUGAGGUUAAGCGACUAAGCGUACACGGUGGAUGCCCUGGCAGUCAGAGGCGAUGAAGGGCGUGCUAAUCUGCGAUAAGCGCCGGUAAGGUGAUAUGAACCGUUAUAACCGGCGAUACCCGAAUGGGGAAACCCAGUGUGAUUCGUCACACUAUCAUUAACUGAAUCCAUAGGUUAAUGAGGCGAACCGGGGGAACUGAAACAUCUAAGUACCCCGAGGAAAAGAAAUCAACCGAGAUUCCCCCAGUAGCGGCGAGCGAACGGGGAGGAGCCCAGAGCCUGAAUCAGCAUGUGUGUUAGUGGAAGCGUCUGGAAAGGCGCGCGAUACAGGGUGACAGCCCCGUACACAAAAGCGUAUGUGCUGUGAGCUCGAUGAGUAGGGCGGGACACGUGGUAUCCUGUCUGAAUAUGGGGGGACCAUCCUCCAAGGCUAAAUACUCCUGACUGACCGAUAGUGAACCAGUACCGUGAGGGAAAGGCGAAAAGAACCCCGGCGAGGGGAGUGAAAAAGAACCUGAAACCGUGUACGUACAAGCAGUGGGAGCACCCUUUGGGGUGUGACUGCGUACCUUUUGUAUAAUGGGUCAGCGACUUAUAUUCUGUAGCAAGGUUAACCGAAUAGGGGAGCCGGAGGGAAACCGAGUCUUAAUUGGGCGUUAAGUUG
rnacentral:rRNA from 1 species